rnacentral:rRNA from 1 species
GGGGGGGUAGAAUUCCACGUGUAGCAGUGAAAUGCGUAGAUAUGUGGAGGAACACCGAUGGCGAAGGCAGCCCCCUGGGUCAAGAUUGACGCUCAUGCACGAAAGCGUGGGGAGCAAAACAGGAUUAGAUACCCUGGUAGUCCACGCCCUAAACGAUGUCUGCUAGUUGUCGGGUCUUAAUUGACUUGGUAACGCAGCUAACGCGUGAAGUAGACCGCCUGGGGAGUACGGUCGCAAGAUUAAAACUCAAAGGAAUUGACGGGGACCCGCACAAGCGGUGGAUGAUGUGGAUUAAUUCGAUGCAACGCGAAAAACCUUACCUACCCUUGACAUGGCUGGAAUCCUCGAGAGAUUGGGGAGUGCUCGAAAGAGAACCAGUUCACAGGUGCUGCAUGGCUGUCGUCAGCUCGUGUCGUGAGAUGUUGGGUUAAGUCCCGCAACGAGCGCAACCCUUGUCAUUAGUUGCUACGAAAGGGCACUCUAAUGAGACUGCCGGUGACAAACCGGAGGAAGGUGGGGAUGACGUCAAGUCCUCAUGGCCCUUAUGGGUAGGGCUUCACACGUCAUACAAUGGUACAUACAGAGCGCCGCCAACCCGCGAGGGGGAGCUAAUCGCAGAAAGUGUAUCGUAGUCCGGAUUGUAGUCUGCAACUCGACUGCAUGAAGUUGGAAUCGCUAGUAAUCGCGGAUCAGCAUGUCGCGGUGAAUACGUUCCCGGGUCUUGUACACACCGCCCGUCACACCAUGGGAGCGGGUUUUACCAGAAGUAGGUAGCUUAACCGCAAGGAGGGCGCUUACCACGGUAGGAUUCGUGACUGGGGUGAAGUCGUAACAAGGUAACCG